rnacentral:lncRNA from 1 species
CUCCAUUUCCAUAUCUCUAGAACAGAGGGGAUGAUGUGUCACAGAGUUCAAGGUACCAGAACCACAGAAAGCAUCUGGAACAGCCCUCCGGUGGCAUUUUUGGUGAUGGUUCCUUAUAUCCUCGCUCCAAACGAUUUGAGGCCAGUGGUUCUUACUGAGGAGUCUCCUCUGGUGCUGGAGCUGGCAUCUGGGAUCUCCGUGGGCCUGUUAGAUCCUAGACCUACAGAUCGCUCAGCUAAAAGGGACCUGGGAGAUCGAAUGGAGCCCGUUAAAUCACGUCACGGAGAAAACGACUGACUUUGCUACUUCAGUGAAAUUAUCACAUCAGUCACCAGCUCAUCUCCCAUGCCUCCGACAACAGAGCGAGGGAGGGUCGGGGGCGCCGCGAAUGGCUCCUGAGACCCACUGAGGACGUGCAUCACAUGUCUUCUGGCUGCUCUCUGAGGAGAUGGAAUGCAGAUGGCUCCAAUGAACUCAGCCCCAUGGGAUGACACCGUGCCAGGAUGCAGGAUGCAUGGUGACAAAUUUCAGAAUGUAAGCUCCAGGAGGGCAAGGACUUCAUCUUGUUCACUUGAAGCUGAAGCCCCAGCAUGUACAAUCCCGUGCUGAGUUGCUGGUUCAUCCCCAGCAUGUACAAUCCCGUGCUGAGUUGCUGGUUCAUCCCCAACAUGUACAAUUCCGUGCUGGGUCGCUGGUUCACCAGCAGAGAGGAGCAUUGAUUCUCUUUGGAAAAGAUAAUCUAUCUACACCCCUGGAACUGUGGCACAGUCUCACGGAGGGCCUGCUUCCAUUCGGGUCAACGGCGAAAAAACGAAUAAACGUGAGCCGCCAUCAGGUGAGGACAUGGAAGCACAGGGAGGUUAUGCCACUCGCCCAAAGACAACUAAUCAGUGACAGCUGAGACUUGGACUGCAGAACCUACACUUUAUAACUAUUUUACAGUUCUGGGCGUCACGGAAUCUUGCAUGAAGAGCCCCUAACCUGGCCCGGGUGGAGGUCAGGGAGGUCUUCCUGGAAGAGGGGGUUCUUGGCAGCAACUUGCUGGAUUUGGUGUUCCCUGUUGGUUGGUCAGUCGCUAGACAGUUAUUCACUGAGCUCUGAGAACAGGCUGGGCCCUGCUCCAGGCCUUGGUUGGACAGCAGGGAACAAGGCUGGGGGAAAUGACUCCCGAGAAAAUGGACAUGUGUGACCCUGGGUUCUGGGAAGGCAGGGAGGGAAGACAAGUACCAGAGGCACAGCGAGGGUCUCUCUGGAGCCACAGGGAGAGGGGAGGGAUGCACAGGCCUGGUGUGCUGCAGGGCCUGAGCCUGUGGCUGCUUCUGGCCAGGAAAGAAGCCAACGUUACUUAAAGAAGUUAUUCAUGUAACCAAAUACCACCUGUUCCCCAAAACCCUAUGGAAAUAAAAAAUUAAAAAAAAUAAAAAAGAGUAAGCAACA